rnacentral:rRNA from 1 species
GUGGGGAAUAUUGCACAAUGGGGGAAACCCUGAUGCAGCGACGCCGCGUGGAGGAAGAAGGUCUUCGGAUUGUAAACUCCUGUUGUUGAGGAAGAUAAUGACGGUACUCAACAAGGAAGUGACGGCUAACUACGUGCCAGCAGCCGCGGUAAAACGUAGGUCACAAGCGUUGUCCGGAAUUACUGGGUGUAAAGGGAGCGCAGGCGGGAAGACAAGUUGGAAGUGAAAUCCAUGGGCUCAACCCAUGAACUGCUUUCAAAACUGUUUUUCUUGAGUAGUGCAGAGGUAGGCGGAAUUCCCGGUGUAGCGGUGGAAUGCGUAGAUAUCGGGAGGAACACCAGUGGCGAAGGCGGCCUACUGGGCACCAACUGACGCUGAGGCUCGAAAGUGUGGGUAGCAAACAGGAUUAGAAACCCUAGUAGUCC